UACGUAGGGGGCAAGCGUUGUCCGGAAUCAUUGGGCGUAAAGCGCGUGUAGGCGGUUCAGUAAGUCUGCUGUGAAAGUCCAGGGCUCAACCCUGGAAAGCCGGUGGAAACUGUCAAGCUCGAGUCCGGAAGAGGCGAGUGGAAUUCCUGGUGUAGCGGUGAAAUGCGCAGAUAUCAGGAGGAACACCAAUGGCGAAGGCAGCUCGCUGGGACGGUACUGACGCUGAGACGCGAAAGCGUGGGGAGCAAACAGG
rnacentral:rRNA from 1 species